AAGAUUUUCGAAAGUGUUCCCUGAAAUACCCUGUAUCUUACACCAUGCUUGGUGCUGAAUCAUGCUUUUAUUGCGAUAGCAAGUAUAUGGACACUCCAAGCGCAUUUUCCCCGUCGGUGUCGUUUCGGGUUCUUUGUGGUUUCUUCCAUUGCUGUGGCACCAGGUAAGCAGCUGCAGUUCCCGUACAAAGCUCCGCUGUACGUCAUCAGCUGCAGAAAGGAUGACCCCGUAGCUUUCGGUUCAAACAUCGCGGUGACGGACAGCAGGGCCAAGUUCCGCUUCCUAGCAGAUGAGGGUCCUCCGAGCCGAGCCGACUCCCACUUGGCGAGAGACCGUCGCAGCGUGGCCGUCUCGCACGUUUCGAUGGGCUCCCGGGCGUCCUCGCAGAAGCAGGGACUCAUCCGGUCCUCGCUCUUUCCUUGCCACUCACUCUAUUCCAGACUGCCUGGUGGGGAGAUGGACGUGUCUCUCGUUUAGCACCCACACUUUCAGGACUACGGCAACUACGACUGGGUCAUGCGUACGUUUCGUGGCCAGAAUUUCGAGACACGGGGCGUCCCGGAUGAAUUGGACAUGUUUACUAACGGUAACGCGGGGUGGUACCUACUUGGACAUUAUUUUAAAAUCUAUUACUGAUUACGUACACGCGUAGUUCCAGAUGACGUUACAAAUAAAGUCGCCUUAUAUUUGUGUUACAGAAAAUUUGUGGGUUCUUACGUGCCAAAACUUUCAUUUCACCUGUUCAAUAAAUCUUGCGUGCUUUGGCUGUAUAGAUCUUGUAGGAGUGUAUGGCAUGUACGAGGGCGAAUGAAGUACCUGUUAUUGUUUUACGAUGUUUAUUUUGAAUAAAGACAAGUUCUGUGUUAUUA